GAUGAACGCUGGCGGCGUGCUUAACACAUGCAAGUCGAACGGUGAAGGCGGAGCUUGCUCUGCUGGAUCAGUGGCGAACGGGUGAGUAACACGUGAGCAAUCUGCCCCUGACUCUGGGAUAAGCGCUGGAAACGGCGUCUAAUACUGGAUACGAGCUGCGAAGGCAUCUUCAGCAGCUGGAAAGAAUUUCGGUCAGGGAUGAGCUCGCGGCCUAUCAGCUUGUUGGUGAGGUAAUGGCUCACCAAGGCGUCGACGGGUAGCCGGCCUGAGAGGGUGACCGGCCACACUGGGACCGAGACACGGCCCAGACUCCUACGGGAGGCAGCAGUGGGGAAUAUUGCACAAUGGGCGAAAGCCUGAUGCAGCAACGCCGCGUGAGGGACGACGGCCUUCGGGUUGUAAACCUCUUUUAGCAGGGAAGAAGCGAAAGUGACGGUACCUGCAGAAAAGGCGCCGGCUAACUACGUG
rnacentral:rRNA from 1 species